GUUGUGGCCCAGACGGCCGCCUUAGGCUGCCCCGCAGGGCCGGUGGGGCACGAGCAGCGGGAGCAUGGCUCUAAAACGGAUCCAGAAGGAACUGACUGACUUACAGAGGGAUCCCCCUGCUCAGUGUUCCGCGGGACCUGUGGGUGAUGACUCAGCUUCUAAGGAGCCCUGGAGUCCUAUGCUCCACUGGCAGGCCACCAUCAUGGGCCCGAAUGACAGUCCUUACCAAGGAGGUGUUUUUUUCCUGACCAUCCACUUCCCUACAGAUUAUCCUUUCAAGCCCCCAAAGGUUGUUUUCACUACCAGAAUCUAUCACCCUAAUAUCAACAGCAAUGGCAGCAUUUGCCUGGACAUCCUGAGGUCACAGUGGUCCCCAGCACUGACUGUGUCUAAAGUUCUCCUGUCUAUCUGCUCUCUGCUCUGCGACCCCAACCCUGAUGACCCACUCGUGCCAGAAAUAGCCCACACUUACAAGGCCGACAGAGAGAAGUAUGCGCCCUCUUAGGGUUGGCUUUGUGUGCAGCUGUCCAGGUUCCCACGGACAUCUUCCUGCCCAAGCCAAGCCCAUGUACAACAGACUAGCAAGAGAGUGGACACAGAAAUAUGCUAUUUAAGUGCCUCGAAGGCUCCAUGGAAGACCCUGUCCAAGAGAAGCUUGCCCCACAGAGUGACCUUCCUGUGAAGCUCUGAGCUCUUGGCUAAGGCACUCACGGAACAUCCUGUGUUCACACACAUGUUGGCACUCACCUCUGUGGCUGCAGCAUGUUGGUGCCACUUUUAGCCAUUGUGGCCUUGACAGUACCACACCUUUGAUGCUAAAUCAGCAACCACUGUUAUGAUCUACAGUCUUCCUGGUUACACUAGAAUCUGUCUGGGGAACCAAGCCAUGCAGCCCCCCGUACUUGUCCUCAAGUGGUGCCACUACUCACUGUGACACUCUAGAGGGGCCCAGUCUGCCCCCUGACCGCCUGCCCUUUGCCUUCAGAGCACAGUGCUUUCCUAGGGGCCCAGGCAGAGUGGGGUCUCUUCAUACUUUGUCUGCCACAGAACCAUGUCCUAAGGAGUGCCACUAUGUCCUGGAGGCUCCUGGAAGUUGGAACAGCCUCCCCUGACUGCCAUCUUCCUCCAUGGUGCUCCAUGCUGCAAACAGCAAGCAAGGAGCACUGGGGCAUUUAAAGCACGUAACACCCAAGAAAGAAUGGGAUUCUCAGACAAGGGGAGAUUCAGGUUAUGCUAGUGUAUGUAAUGAGGCUUCCUCUACCGUCUUCCCACUGGAAACUUAACAUGAAAUUCAAGCAUAAGCCAUUCACAAACUGAACACAAGGAAGCAGUGGGACUUUAAAUGGUAAUAAAAAGGAAAUUCCUUCAGAAGUGACAAUUGACA